UACGUAGGGUGCAAGCGUUGUCCGGAAUUAUUGGGCGUAAAGAGCUCGUAGGCGGUUCGUCGCGUCGGCUGUGAAAACCUGAGGCUCAACCUCAGGCCUGCAGUCGAUACGGGCGGACUUGAGUACUGCAGGGGAGACUGGAAUUCCUGGUGUAGCGGUGAAAUGCGCAGAUAUCAGGAGGAACACCGGUGGCGAAGGCAGCUCGCUGGGACGGUACUGACGCUGAGACGCGAAAGCGUGGGGAGCAAACAGG
rnacentral:rRNA from 1 species